rnacentral:rRNA from 1 species
UCAGUCGACUCCUACGGGGAGGCAGCAGUGGGGAAUAUUGCACAAUGGGGGAAACCCUGAUGCAGCCAUGCCGCGUGUGUGAAGAAGGACCUUCGGGUUGUAAAGCACUUUCAGUAGGGAGGAAGGUAGUGUAGUUAACACCUGCAUUAUUUGACGUUACCUACACGAAGAAGCACCGGCUAACUCCGUGCCAGCAGCCGCGGUAAUACGGAGGGUGCGAGCGUUAAUCGGAAUUACUGGGCGUAAAGCGCAUGCAGGCGGCCUGUUAAGUCAGAUGUGAAAGCCCGGGGCUUAACCUCGGAAUUGCAUUUGAAACUGGCAGGCUAGAGUCUUGUAGAGGGGGGUAGGAAUUUCAGGUGUAGCGGUGAAAUGCGUAGAGAUCUGAAGGAAUACCAGUGGCGAAGGCGGCCCCCUGGACAAAGACUGACGCUCAGAUGCGAAAGCGUGGGGAGCAAACAGGAUUAGAUACCCUGGUAG